rnacentral:rRNA from 1 species
UAACGCGUGGAUAACCUGCCGUAUACCGGGGGAUAACACUUAGAAAUAGGUGCUAAUACCGCAUAAGCGCACGGCUCCGCAUGGGGCAGUGUGAAAAACUCCGGUGGUAUACGAUGGAUCCGCGUCUGAUUAGCUAGUUGGCGGGGUAACGGCCCACCAAGGCAGCGAUCAGUAGCCGGCCUGAGAGGGUGGACGGCCACAUUGGGACUGAGACACGGCCCAAACUCCUACGGGAGGCAGCAGUGGGGAAUAUUGCACAAUGGGGGAAACCCUGAUGCAGCGACGCCGCGUGAGUGAAGAAGUAUCUCGGUACGUAAAGCUCUAUCAGCAGGGAAGAAAAUGACGGUACCUGACUAAGAAGCCCCGGCUAACUACGUGCCAGCAGCCGCGGUAAUACGUAGGGGGCAAGCGUUAUCCGGAUUUACUGGGUGUAAAGGGAGCGUAGACGGCAGCACAAGUCUGGAGUGAAAUCCCGGGGCUUAACCCCGGAACUGCUUUGGAAACUGUGUAACUGGAGUACAGGAGGGGCAGGCGGAAUUCCUGGUGUAGCGGUGAAAUGCGUAGAUAUCAGGAGGAACACCGGCGGCGAAGGCGGCCUGCUGGACUGAAACUGACGUUGAGGCUCGAAAGCGUGGGGAGCAAACAGGAUUAGAUACCCUGGUAGU